ACAAGCCUCAGCCUUCCAGUCUCCUGCAAGCACUCUCUGCUCUGUGGCACGGGGACUUUCCCUGCAGCAUCUUUGGGAGUGGCCUCCCUGUUUGGUCACUGCAAAGCCAUGCUUCCCCUGCCCUCCAAGGUUGCGACAUCUUGAUCCUUUUACCACCACUCCAAUGGACCAUUGUGGCAUUGUCC
rnacentral:RNase_MRP_RNA from 1 species